rnacentral:rRNA from 1 species
AGAGAGAGACAUGCGCGCAUAUCAAUAAGCGGAGGAAAAGAAACUAACAAGGAUUACCCCUAGUAACGGCGAGUGAAGCGGGAAGAGCUCAAAUUUGAAAUCUUAAAGGGUUUCCCUUUACGAAUUGUAGUUUAAAGAAGUGUUUUCUGUUGAGGUUUUGGUAAAAGUUCUUUGGAAUAGGACAUCAUAGAGGGUGAGAAUCCCGUAUUUGACCUUUACUUUCAACUUUGUGAUACACUUUCAAAGAGUCGGAUUGUUUGGGAAUGCAGUCCAAAAUGGGUGGUAAAUUUCAUCUAAAGCUAAAUACUGGCGAGAGACCGAUAGCGAACAAGUACCGUGAGGGAAAGAUGAAAAGAACUUUGAAAAGAGAGUUAAACAGUACGUGAAAUUGUCAAAAGGGAAGCGUUUGACACCAGUGUUGUUUUUCUGAAAAUCAAUUAAAGAACUGUUUAUGCUAAGCUGUUUAGACUUUAUCAGCUAUCUGUUUAGUUUUGAGCUUUUCUUUAAUGCACUUUUCAGUUAACAAGUCAACAUCAAUUUCUUUUGCUGUAAAAAAGCUUGAGGAAGGUGGCUUGAGAUUCGUCUUAAGUGUUUAUAGCCUCUUGCCUAUGCAGUCGGAGAGAUUGAGGUCUGCAGCGUAGAUCCUUCGGGGCUAAAUGCAUUUGUGCUAAGUUAUAGCAUUUUAUAGACAACUUGUUGACUAUGAUUUGUCUUGUAGCUUACUCGCUUAUGUUAUUUUACCUACGCUUAGGAUGUUGACGCAUGAGAUAUACGC